CGGCUGUAGCUAUAUCAAUUUCAGAAGCUAACUGGCCGGUUGUUGUUUUUGAGAUCCAUCGACAUAUCUGCUUACCGAGCUUCUUAUAUUU
rnacentral:snoRNA from 9 species